rnacentral:rRNA from 1 species
UAUCGGAUUGAUACUAAGCCAUGCGAGUCAUUGUAGCAAUACAAGGCAUACGGCUCAGUAACGCGUAGUCAACCUAACCUAUGGACGGGAAUAACCUCGGGAAACUGAGAAUAAUGCCCGAUAGAACAUUAUGCCUGGAAUGGUUUAUGUUCCAAAUGAUUUAUCGCCGUAGGAUGGGACUGCGGCCUAUCAGUUUGUUGGUGAGGUAAUGGCCCACCAAGACUAUCACAGGUACGGGCUCUGAGAGGAGUAGCCCGGAGAUGGGUACUGAGACACGGACCCAGGCCCUAUGGGGCGCAGCAGGCGAGAAAACUUUGCAAUGUGCGAAAGCACGACAAGGUUAAUCCGAGUGGUUUCUGCUAAAGGAACCUUUUGUCAGUCCUAGAAACACUGAUGAAUAAGGGGUGGGCAAGUUCUGGUGUCAGCCGCCGCGGUAAAACCAGCACCUCAAGUGGUCAGGAUGAUUAUUGGGCCUAAAGCAUCCGUAGCCGGCUCUGUAAGUUUUCGGUUAAAUCUGUACGCUCAACGUACAGGCUGCCGGGAAUACUGCAAAGCUAGGGAGUGGGAGAGGUAGACGGUACUCGGUAGGAAGGGGUAAAAUCCUUUGAUCUAUUGAUGACCACCUGUGGCGAAGGCGGUCUACCAGAACACGUCCGACGGUGAGGGAUGAAAGCUGGGGGAGCAAACCGGAUUAGAUACCCGGGUAGUCCCAGCUGUAAACCAUGCAAACUCAGUGAUGCAUUGGCUUGUGGCCAAUGCAGUGCUGCAGGGAAGCCGUUAAGUUUGCCGCCUGGGAAGUACGUACGCAAGUAUGAAACUUAAAGGAAUUGGCGGGGGAGCACCACAAGGGGUGAAGCCUGCGGUUCAAUUGGAUUC